ensembl:lncRNA
GGAGGCAAAGGGAAAAGGCCAGACUCUUCUCAGCAGUGUGUGGUGAUAGAACAAGAGGAAAUGGCCACAAACUGAAGCAUGGGAAGUUCUGCACCAAUAUGCGAAGGAACUUCUUCACUGUUGAGGGUGACGGAGCACUGAAACAGUCUGCCCAGUGGGGGUGUGGAGUCUCCUUCUCUGGAGAUGUUCAAGACCCGCCUGGAUGCCCAUCUGUGCAGCCUGCUGUAGGGAGCCUGCUUUGCAGGAGGGUUGGACUCCAUGAUCUCUGGAGGUCCCUUCAAGCUCCUACAAUUCUGUGAUUCUGGGAUUCUGUGAAAUGGGAAGAGCUGAUCAUAAAGGAAAAGAAAACGCCUCAAGAAACCUAACGACAGCCCUGCGAGUAAAGCCAGAAUAUACAGAUUUUUCAGGAACAGUAUUUGCUCUAAAAGGGAUGAGAGGAUUCAGAGUACACCACUGAUUUGGAAAAUGCUCAGCAGUACAGAACAGGUCAUAAACUUACAGGCAAUGCAAAACCUGCCAAACCUGCAAUGUUUUCUGCAGGCAAAGAAAUUUUCUGCUGAAGCAAGUAACGUUCAUUCUGAAAAAAAAAAAAAAAAAAGAGAGAGAGAGAGAGAGAGAGAGUGACUGGUGCUUUACUCAGCUACGAACUUCCUGAGUCAGAAGAAUAUUACCUGGAAUUAGUAUGCUGGGUUUUUUCACCUUACCUGUCUACCGUGAAAUUUUUGAAGUAUCAUGUGCUAAACAAUCCAGGACACAAAACCCUAAAUAAGAAUGUUGUUUUUCUUGUGUGUCAGUUUCUAAAUGCCUUCAUCCUUUUCUUCGCAUGUGGACUGCCCUCUGACCUCAAUCCUGAUGGCCUAAUGGUGAAUCAUUAUUCUUUGAUUAUGGCUUUGUAAUUAUAGGGAAUGACAUAAGCUCAUUGUGAUCCAGACUUGGAAAUUAUUUCAAAGGGGUUUUAUUCUUUUUACUUAUUCUUUUUAUAGCUGCACUGAUCCAUUUUUUGACUGUAUUGAGGCACUCCAAGGCUCACAUUGCUGUGCCAUUAUAACACUUCUCAAGUGCCUGACACUGCACUGCCUCUUGGAAAAAUAUGUUUUGUGCAGACCCAAAAAGUAUUGCUGGGUUUCUCUCUCUGUAAAUCCCACAAAUUUUCCAGAGUGCCUUUCAGAGUGGGAAUAUCAUUCCCACUUUGAAUUCCAUUCGUUUUCAAUACAGAAUAAUAUUUUUUCCUAAAGUUUGGUCCAGGAAAGAAAUAGAAGUGAUCUACUUCUUAACAAUCUGCUCUUUAAUGAGAAAUCUAAGCACACUAUUGCCACUUAUAUGAGAUCAUUUUACACAGCUCUGCUAUGUAGUAUGUUUUAGGGUGUUUUUUCUCCAUCAGUGACAGAUGAAGAGCAGCAGUAAAUUUUUCUGACUUGGCUUAACUGAGAGGAUUCAGAGUCUUAAAAUUAAACAGAUUGUGAAAGUAGGAGGAGAAAAAUAGGAGGGAGAGGAACAAAAAUGAAAACCUACACCUAAAUGCAUAUAGUGUAGUAAACUUGGAUAACGUGUUUGAGACAAAGUUCUCACUGACACAAAAAUAUACACAAGAUCAUAUCCUAGUAUCGUUUCACCUUGUACCAGGGAAUUGUUGCAGCUUUUGUGUUGGUUUGCAUUUUAGAAAUUUGAAAAUCUUGGGAAGGUCUCUGCAUGCUUUCAGAAACAUAUGUAUUCCUGUAGAUUUUAUUUUUUUAACGUUCUGACUUCACAGUACCUAACGUUGGCAAGAGCAGAAAUACUUCAAGUGCAAGGACACAUGGAAAAACAACAAAGAAAACAAAUCCUAGGUAACAGUCAAACAAAGCUAUUGAUUAGAUAAACAUCAGCAAACCCAAAAGCUUCCUGCUGUGUGUGUGUGGCAUAGCUCCCUAUCCCUACCACUGUGACAAGACAGAAGCACAUAAAGGCACAAUUUAUGGCUCACUUUCCAGAUUUGGAUUUGGUAGAUAGAAAUAAAAACAGUGAUCAAUAUACAUCUCUGUGCCCUGCUGCUGACAAGGAAAAUGCACAUGGACAAAGCCAUAACUCAGCUGAUGUGCAGGAAUUUUCCUACAUCACGCGGGCUCUCCUACCAGCCAAGGAAUGAGCAUGACUUCAUCCCAAACCCAUCCUCAAAAUUCCCGAGUCAUCCCGCUGGGUUCAGAUAUGGCUCACUGAGAAAGGUUUCUCUGGAGGAAGUUCCGUGGUUUGGGUGCAGUUUCUGGCAUCAUGCUCCUGCUUCUCUUUCUGGCUGCCUUUUGCUCUGUACAGAAGAACUUGCAAGCUCUCAUUCAUAGAUAGAGCCAGAGAGGCAUUGGGACUCAUCAUUUUCUGAUGGAUUCUAAUUCCAUGUUGACUCAUCAUCCCAUAAAAUUCCUAAGUAGUUUUCCAAAACAAGAAAAAGAAGCUCCCUUCUGGUUUGCAGACUUUAACACAGACUUAUCAAGUCUUUGAUUUCUGUUUUAUCUAUCAGAUUUUUCCUCUCAUAAAUUCUUGACAUCCAGUAUAAAUUAAACCCAGUAGUUACAAAAGUGUAAAUUCAGCUACUUUCCAUCAUGGUCAGAAAACCAGAUGUAGUCUUUUAAGAUAUGCUUAAUUAAAAUAAGAAAACUACACUUCCCUCAGCCCCUGAAGGCUGAGGCCUCCAGCCAUCUCUGCCAUCGACAACAAGGAUAAGCAGAGGUUAUUUCCCAGCACUGUUGGCACCUCAGACACCUCAUCCCUCCCUUUAACACAGUGUUUUCAUCAUCCUGAUGCUAAUAUCCUUCAGUUUUGCUUCAGAGGUAGCUUGAGUCAUGCCACAAGGCUAAGUGUGGAGGUUGCCAGAAACACAGGAACUGGUUCUAAAUGUUUGUGUUCAGAUACAGAGGCAAUAUAGCUAUGUUUAUAUGAAGAUUUAUUUUGUUGUGCUGGUCUCAUUUGACUUAUUUUGCUGAGUUUCCCCAUUGUCUCAAAACCAUCUGGCAGACCCCUGGGUGCCAUGCCAGGGAAACCUGGUUCUGAAGAUCUCCUCAGAGCACCAAACAAAUCUGUGCUUGUCACCACAUGUGAGGCCAGCAGCAUGCUGAAGAAUGGACUCACUUCCUCAAGACCUAAAUGGAAGGUCUUCUUAAAUGUUGGAGUGUCCUGUGCCAGCUGUGCAGAUGUCUUCCUAAGCCUUGAAACUGCACAGGAAAAAUCCAUUGUCUGUGUCUGCAUUACAGGCAUCAAACAAUGUGCAGUCUGCUUCUUCCACGCAAGUGGAAAUAACGUUUGGAACCUUUGAAAACAUUCAAGAAACAUUGAAACGUUUGUUCAUCAUGACUAAAAUAUUUAUAUAACAGUGUAGUGUUCAGGUUCUGUUAAGGAAUCUACAAUGCUCAUCUUUAACCCCAGAAGCAGUACAAAUAAUAAUUCACAGAACAUUUCCUUUUUGAACAGCAAGAACCUGUAGUACUGUCUAAUGUGAAAAGUUAGGAAUAUUUUGAUAUGCUGUGUUUGACUAUAGCAUAAUAAUGGCUUCUAAAACACUCCAAGUGGAUUUAUUCAUGGUUCAAGGAACAAGGCCAAAGAUUAAAAAAAAAAAAAAAAAAAACCUGUAAUUUUUUUCCUCAAUUGUGCUUUCAUUAGUGACCUUCGGAACAUUUCACAAAGGGUAUUUUUUUAUGCAUGUUUGCUUUUCAUCGGCUCUUCUUAUAACUCCUUGUCAGUUACAAUUUUUCCUUUACCUUUGUUUACUUGUUGAGGUGCAAGAACUGGGGAAGGCUGCCUACAUCACAGAGAGCCAAUGUGAAUUAAAGAGCUGAGCAUCAGGCACAAUUUCCAAGCUCUGUGCUCACACACAUCACUUCAGAUUUCCCUAAGGAAAAGCUAUAGCAAAGAAAUCACUUUCAGCUACCAUGUUGAAAAUGAGAGGUUGGCAACUUUUGAAAAAACUGAGUCCUCCAGUUUUCCUGCAAUACAAAUGAAAGAUUCAUUUCACACUGUUGGGAUAGCUGGUCUGUUCUGGAUCUGUUUACUUCCAUGUGAUCUACAUACCACCAUGCUUUUUUUUCAUCUAGACAUGAAACCUGUUUAAGGUAGAUAGGUUGGUGUUUUGAAAAGAAUAAGCUAUUACACCUGUUUAACUGUAAAAUGGAAGUUCAAUUCAUUUGUCUGCUCAGGUAUUGAAUGAGUUCCUGGUGUCUAUUACGUUUAAAGAACAAUUUUUCUUUAAGAUAAAAAGUAUUUGUGAUUGACUUCCUUUUAACUCAUGCUUGAAUAUAGCAUUUGCUUUUCAGAAUGGCUUUGUUUGGGUUGUAUCAUCUGGUUCAUGUGGGUCCACUCUGCAAGCUUGUCCAGGUCCUUCUGGAUAGCAUCCGUUCCUUAAGUUAUAUCUAGUGCACCAUUCAGCUUUGUAUGGUCUGCAUAGUUACUAAGGGGAUGCUCAACCCACUGUCCAGAACAUUGAUAUAGACAUUAAAGGGCACCAGUCCCAAGAUAGUCCUCUGUGGAGUACCAUCCAUCACUGGCCUUCACCUGAUAUCCAUUGAUAACAACUCUUUGACUUCCAUCAUGCAACCAAUUUUGCAUCCACAUAAUAGUCCACCCUUGAAAUCAAUCUCUCUCCAAUUUAGAGGUAAGAAUGUGGUGCAGGACCAUAUUAAAGGCUUUGCAGAAGUCCAGGUAUGUGAAACCAGUUGUUCUUCCUUUGUCUACUGAUGGUGUCACUCCAUCCUUAAAGGCUACUGCGUUGGUCAGGCAUGAUCUACCCUUGGUGAAUCCAUGCUGGCUUUCUCAGUUCACCUCUUUGUCUCACUUGCGCCUUAGCAUCUCGUCCAGAAAUAUCUGCUCCAUGAUCUUUCCAGGCACAGACAUGGGGCUCAUUGGCCUGUAGUUUCUUGAGUCUUCUUUUCUAUCUUCCUUAAAAAUGAGAGUGAUAUUUCCUCUUUUCCUGACAAUGGGGACUUCACCUAGCAGCCAUGACUUUUCAGAGAUGAUUGAGAGCAGCUUGGCAACCGUAUCAGUCAGUCCAUUCAGGAUCCUGAGGUGCAUGUCUUCUGGCCCCAUGAACUUGUGCAUAUUCAUUCACGUCAGGUGGUUUCAGUCUUGCUUUUCCUUUACAGUAUGAGUGAUUACACUUCUCCAGCUCCCACCUAGAGGUUCAGGGAUGUAAGAGAAGUGGGUAGCUUGACAGUCAGUGAAGACCAAGGCAAAAAAUUUGUUCAGUGCCUCAGCCUUCUCUCUGUCCAUUGUUGCCAUUUCUCCCUUCUCAUUUAUCAAAGUAAGUAGACUCUCCUUGGCUUUCUGUUCUGACGAAUGUGCCUGUAGAAUCCUUGUUAUUUUUCACAAUUCUUGCUAAGUUCAAUUCCAUCUGUGUUUUGGCUUUCCUCAUCCCAACUCUGUACUUCCGAACGGUGUGCCCUGUACUCUUUCCAGAUCACACAUCACAGCUUUUACCACUUAUGCGUUUCCUUUUUAUCCUUCAG